rnacentral:lncRNA from 1 species
ACAAUUAUUUUUUAUAUAAUUCUCUAUAAAUAUUUUUUUGUUUGAUAUUUAUUUUGAAUCUUGAGCCAGUAUAGUCAAUCUACUUCAUAUAGCACAUUGUUCUAUAUGAUAUUGAAACUUAAAUUCUUGAGCUUGACAGCCCAUGUGUUUGUGGCUCUACAUGGUAAUAAAGUUAAGAUUUUAAGAUUGGUGACUCGAGUAUGUGUGGUUCUACAUGAUACUAAAGCCAUAGACUUAU